rnacentral:rRNA from 1 species
UAUACAUGCAGUCGAGCGGACAGAUGGGAGCUUGCUCCCUGAUGUUAGCGGCGCACGGGUGAGUAACACGUGGGUAACCUGCCUGUAAGACUGGGAUAACUCCGGGAAACCGGGGCUAAUACCGGAUGCUUGUUUGAACCGCAUGGUUCAAACAUAAAAGGUGGCUUCGGCUACCACUUACAGAUGGACCCGCGGCGCAUUAGCUAGUUGGUGAGGUAACGGCUCACCAAGGCAACGAUGCGUAGCCGACCUGAGAGGGUGAUCGGCCACACUGGGACUGAGACACGGCCCAGACUCCUACGGGAGGCAGCAGUAGGGAAUCUUCCGCAAUGGACGAGAGUCUGACGGAGCAACGCCGCGUGAGUGAUGAAGGUUUUCGGAUCGUAGAGCUCUGUUGUUAGGGAAGAACAAGUACCGUUCGAAUAGGGCGGUACCUUGACGGUACCUAACCAGAAAGCCACGGCUAACUACGUGCCAGCAGCCGCGGUAAUACGUAUGUGGCAAGCGUUGUCCGGAAU